AUGCCCACCCCGGGCCCUGCCGUCGAAGAAGCCAGGCUGGGCUGGUGUGGCUCCCUUCUCCCCUCCAGACACAGUGACUGGAACCGAGUAAACAGCACUGACCGCAGAAAAGAAAGUGGCCAGUUGUCAGCUGUGCCCAUCUCACCCCUCCUGCGAUCUGGCCGCCCUGCUCCUCCUGGGAUUCCAAGCCUGCAUGUCCUCUCCGUGACCCUUUUGUCAGGGCAACAAGUCCUGACAAGAGUUGUCCUGCCUGCUUCUGGGAAGCCCUGCAUCGCUACUGGGGCUGCCCUCCACGUGGGCCACCCAUAGCCCCCGUCAACUCACUCCCUGAAACAUUAGUUCUCUCACUCGGAGGGACUCCCUCACUUGUGUGCAAUUGGCCCCAGGGUCUCAGGCCUCCUCAUUUCGGGGAUGAACCUAUCCCACGGACAACCCUACUUCUGAUGUAGCCUGAUGUCUAGGCUUCAGUGUAAUAUGUUUUUAUUUCUGCUGUGUUCUUAUAUUUUGAAAUAAAACAGCACUUCCUAAUUUUUAAAAGGCUGAU
rnacentral:lncRNA from 12 species